GUUUCUGGCUUUAACUACCGCAUCAGAAGAAAUUGUUGGUCUACCUAAAAGAUGGAUUCAUUUCCCCUCCUAACACUUUCUCUCAGAAAGAGCAGCAAGUUAAUGUUGAUUAGAAGGCCCAGAAAUCGUCACGAAAUACAGACCAAGAGGGAUGCACUGAAAAACAAACAUGAUUUGAGGAAAUACAUACACCUGGAAAUAAUACAGAACAUUGUCCACAUUCCACUCAGGAGCAGCAGCAGUUGGCAGGAGGGAGCAGUACAACCUCUGACGGCCACUGAUGGGUCAGGUUCCCCACAUGGAGAUGGACCAGCGGGAACCUGCCCUGUGCGCCCUCAUGCCCUGGGACAAAUGAGGCGCUGGAACAAUAUCAGAACCGACACCCCUGAGCCAAUGCAUCUGAGCUUUGGGGCUCUGGCUGCGCUCCAGGCUGCUCAGAGGAAACGGCCUCGCAGGCGUCCACGGGUUUCUUGAAGUGGGUGAAUCUCAGUCUCUGGUAAGUCCUGUCCACACUCCUCUCGGCAGCUGCUUUUUCGUGAAGGCUGAAAAGCCCGGGGCGCCCCUCUGCGAGGGCUGUGGCCUCUGCUCUGACUCCAUAAAGAGCCGCUGUGAUGUCACCGGCAGAGCCCCCCGGAGCCCUGCCCGGAAUGCGGCUGUGGGGGUAGAGCCGGGAGCUGGGACAGUGACUGUGGACCUGGAGGGAGAGGCCGUGUGCUGGUUCAUUGGGUUUUCUUUGGGUUUAGUUGU